AAUGAAACUGGAAUAGGCACAUAUCGAAAGCAAAUGCGGAACAAUGGGAUAUACAUGUGCCUAUAUGAGUCAAUACGAUAUAGCAUAAACGUUACACAAUAGUUUUCAAGAAUGCAAUAAUUUUAAGGACAAGAGCAUACAAGAAUUCAAAGCAGUAAUAUAAAACUCAAUUGAAUAAGAAAGCUAAAGGAUAUCAAUUUCCAAAGGAAUGAAACCAGAAUAUGAGAAAUCGACCAAAGCUCGAUUUCUGGCAGAAUACAAGAGGCACAUUGAACAAAUGAUUCAAACUAUCAAUUGUGCUCCAAUUUACUCAAAAAUAUAUCAUUGGAAGGAUAUUUCAAU
rnacentral:lncRNA from 1 species